rnacentral:rRNA from 2 species
UAGGGAAUCUUCCACAAUGGACGCAAGUCUGAUGGAGCAACGCCGCGUGAGUGAAGAAGGGUUUCGGCUCGUAAAGCUCUGUUGUUGGUGAAGAAGGACAGGGGUAGUAACUGACCUUUGUUUGACGGUAAUCAAUUAGAAAGUCACGGCUAACUACGUGCCAGCAGCCGCGGUAAUACGUAGGUGGCAAGCGUUGUCCGGAUUUAUUGGGCGUAAAGCGAGUGCAGGCGGCUCGAUAAGUCUGAUGUGAAAGCCUUCGGCUCAACCGGAGAAUUGCAUCAGAAACUGUCGAGCUUGAGUACAGAAGAGGAGAGUGGAACUCCAUGUGUAGCGGUGAAAUGCGUAGAUAUAUGGAAGAACACCGGUGGCGAAGGCGGCUCUCUGGUCUGUUACUGACGCUGAGGCUCGAAAGCAUGGGUAGCGAACA